rnacentral:rRNA from 1 species
UACGAAGGGGGCUAGCGUUGUUCGGAAUUACUGGGCGUAAAGCGUGCGCAGGCGGUUCGUUAAGUCAGAUGUGAAAUCCCCGGGCUUAACCUGGGAACUGCAUUUGGGACUGCAAGGCUCGAGUACGGCAGAGGGAGGUGGAAUUCCACGUGUAGCAGUGAAAUGCGUAGAGAUGUGGAGGAACACCGAUGGCGAAGGCAGCCUCCUGGGCCAGUACUGACGCUCAUGCACGAAAGCGUGGGGAGCAAACAGG